AGUAGUUUGACUCCUGGCUCGAGGACGAACGCUGGCGGCGUGCUUAACACAUGCAAGUCGAACGAGACGAUUUAGAAGCUUGCUUUUAUUGAGUCGAGUGGCAAACGGGUGAGUAACGCGUAGACAACCUGCCGCAAAGAUGGGGACAACAGUCCGAAAGGACUGCUAAUACCGAAUGUUGUAUCUCCUCCGCAUGAAAGAGAUAUUAAAGAUGGCCUCUACUUGUAAGCUAUCGCUUUGCGAUGGGUCUGCGUCUGAUUAGCUAGUUGGUGGGGCAACGGCCUACCAAGGCAACGAUCAGUAGCCGGUCUGAGAGGAUGAACGGCCACAUUGGAACUGAGACACGGUCCAGACUCC
rnacentral:rRNA from 1 species